AGCACCAUGACUUCCAGACUCACUGCCUGCCCCCUAAUAAGUAUGAACUACAGCUGGGAAGAUCUCCUGAGAAGAACAAGUGAGGAUUGAAAUGAAUAAAGAAGCAAAAAGGAGAGAAAGGUCUUUGACAUUGAUGGAAGAAGCAAGUGAGGAUUUAACCGAUGAUGUCCUAUGUCAGCAAACAGAUAAAGAAACUGAUGCUUAAGAAGAUUAAAGUAACUUGUCUGCAUUAGUCAAGAUGCUGCUGGAAACAGAAUCCAGCUCAGACGAUUUAAGAUAUCUUAAUGAAAGGACUCCUUAAAGACUUGUGAGCAAAUCAAGAGAAUCGAGAAGGGAUAUUGAAGAACCCAGAACUGGCAAAAGCAGGAAGUCGUUGUCUCACUUAGGUCUGAAUGGGCAAGGGAAUCAAGUUGUUACUGGAGUGAAAGCUGUACCCUUUGGAGAAAGCCUGCACUACAGGCAGUGGGCCCUUAAGUAGAGAACCACAGCCCCUGCCAAUCUGCUGCCAGGUGGGGAUGGAGCCGAAGUAAUAAAUAUCCAACCUCUCUCUCCAAUGAGAACUAGAGACAGUGUGAAAGAAAGGCCAC
rnacentral:lncRNA from 1 species